UGGGGAAUAUUGGACAAUGGGCGACAGCCUGAUCCAGCCAUGCCGCGUGUGUGAAGAAGGUCUUCGGAUUGUAAAGCACUUUAAGUUGGGAGGAAGGGCAGUAAGCGAAUACCUUGCUGUUUUGACGUUACCGACAGAAUAAGCACCGGCUAACUCUGUGCCAGCAGCCGCGGUAAUACAGAGGGUGCAAGCGUUCAUCGGAAUUACUGGGCGUAAAGCGCGCGUAGGUGGUUCGUUAAGUUGAAUGUGAAAGCCCCGGGCUCAACCUGGGAACUGCAUCCAAAACUGGCGAGCUAGAGUAGGGCAGAGGGUGGUGGAAUUUCCUGUGUAGCGGUGAAAUGCGUAGAUAUAGGAAGGAACACCAGUGGCGAAGGCGACCACCUGGGCUCAUACUGACACUGAGGUGCGAAAGCGUGGGGAGCAAACAGG
rnacentral:rRNA from 1 species